rnacentral:rRNA from 1 species
UAUGUCAGUUUAGCAUAGACUGAGGUUGGGUGAGGGACAGAGCCCAACGGGUAGCAGGAAGCAGGAAGGAGGGCUAUGUCUAGGUUUUGAAGGGGUAGAGAAAGCAGAGUCAGAGGGGGACCGGAGGAGGUAGCAACCAGCGGAGACCCGAGACCGUGACGAUGUGGUGGCGUAGCUGCUGCGGCGAGGAGGAGGUGCUCCGAAGGACGCGCACACCGGUACCUGCCUCGAGCGGGUCGGCGGGGGUCUCCGACGGAAACUCCAGCGGCACGAGGAGCUGGAGUUGUAGCAGCGUGAGCUCUCGGUUGGGAGGGGAGAGGGAAAGGGAACCGACUACGACAGGGGCCGCCGUGACGAGAGGGCACUCCUCACUCGGAGUAGUGGUGCCAGUUCGGACCAUAAACCUUAUAGCUUUAACCUACUUUUUUUAGACGAUGAGUUUAAGCGGUCUUCUCAGGAUCAGCCCCUACCGCUCUCCUCCUUCUGUUGCCCCUCGUAUCUGGAGGCCUAGAGGUCAGGCGAAGAGGAGCCCUCCGACAGCGUCACGAGGAGCUGGAGGAGUGGAUCGAGGACGGAAGGCAGUGCGUCGAACUCCUUCAUGCGUCUCAAGAUCCAGCGAGAGGCUUUUUUUACUCAAGAUCCAGCGACGGCGAGGUGCUGGAGCCCCGUACCGAGCACCAGCCGGUGAUCUACGAGAAGCUGAACUAAAAACCCACGCUUCUGUGCAGUUCCGGUCCCUCCUCGUACUGAGAACAUAGGAGAAAAAAACACACCUGACCUUCCCCAACGCCGAACUAUCUAAAACAUAUAACGUAAGUUCUAAACACAAUAGUCACUAACAUUAAAAAACAACUAUCGAAUGGUUCAACUGGUGAACCAAGUUCUAAACACAAUACGAGCAAGAAUCGUGAAAAGGCCACUUCCCGUCCAUGAUCUCUUGAAUCAAACAAGAAUCGGUUUCACGAAAAACUCACUUCGUCUGUUGUAACGAAUUUCAUGAUUGACUGACUAAUUAUAAAAUCCUAAACGUCAUGAAUCAUGGAGUACUGAGGCGUGAAACAAUAAUAAAGUGAAAACCAUAAUAAAGUAGUCAAUCAAUUGAUGCCUUAGAACUGACUUAAUAAUCAUUUAUAACAUAUUUUGGUGAAACUAGAUAAGUCUAUACAAGGGAGGCAGGGCACUAUAUUCUCACAAAGACUACAUGAACAAUUUUUGAGAGAAUAUAACACCCCGGCCUCCCUCUAUAUCUCUAUUGCGCUUGUUCGAUUUUCUCAUUCGAGAGUUGUCCUUUUGUUCGUCACAUAUGAAAACAAAAUGUACUAAUGGGAAUCUUUACGUAUGUAACUACUGAUUUAUAUACGAAAUAAAGUUUACAGGUCGUACACCUAAUAUUCGUGGUUGGGUUUUAUGUACCUGUAAUCACCUCUUGCCGAGGCACUCUACGAUGCGCUACCACCACUCCACCUAUCGCACGACUACUGUAACCACUACUCUUCCAUGGUUGUCUAACUACACCAUAAGCGACGACGUUUUCCUCUCCCUACAACCUCUGUAACCGACCUCGGUCUAAAACACUUGGUACAAUCAUCUCCUCUGUUGUAAAGUUUCGACUCCAUGUAGUUCCUGUACAAGCACCCCGGCGUAUAGUGAAUGCUCCAAGUGUUUACGUGGCUCAAACACAACGGUCAAUUUAAACUGAAAUUUACCAGAUGCAUGUAUACCCUGAAAGGUUCCAGCUUCUAAAAACAGGAGCUGGGUUGUUACUUGUUACCCCUACUCAGACUAUUCCUUUAAGUCGAGUCCGUGUCCUUCCACCGUCUGCUUGAAGUGUUCCGAUAUCUCUACACGUAUUUCAGUAAGAAGAGACCUACCCUAGGUUUGUACUCCAGCACCUUAUGUACGAAGGGUUCCCCGGACCGUUGUCCCUAUACGUUCUUCCUUCUGUGUCCCUAUAUACGAUGAGUGAAACCUUCCUUAACCUACCCUUCAUUUGACUUUUCCCUAUACUUGGGCCCACUACCACAGUACGUACGAUCCUACUUGUACGAACAACUAAACGAACCAAGUCUUCCAUUAUAACCAGUAGAAGGACGCUCCAUGUUCCUAACGGAAUAAGCGUUCUUCCUGUUCUUGUUCCUAACUGAACAAGUGUUCUUCCCGUUAUACUUGUUCAAGAAAACGACCCUCACCUGCCUGAUUAACUUUACAGUCACAAACAAAUCGAAACCUUCUCCUGACAAUUCUGAAGGCUUGAUUAAUACGCCAGUUUUUAUACUACAUGAGGCUUAAUUAAACGAUAGUUAACCACUUGUACAAUUCAAUAAAAUAAACG